CAGGACCCACCGCAGCCCCGAAGGAGCCACAAGAGCCAUCCUGAGUGAAGGGGCAGGAAGCAGCCGUUACCCUGCAGGCUGCCCUGCACUCUGUUCUCCUGUCAGCUGACACUCGUGGGUUUUUCCGCCUUCUCGUACCCAGUGAAAUCACCAGUUUGUAAACCCUAGGAAAUAGACACUCCUGAGAAAUCAGAACUACCCUGGAAAGGGAGGGGCCUCGAGCUCUGUCCCAGCACCUAAAACCACGCUGCUCAGGGCUCUGCUUCAGGAAGCUUCCAGCUUCAUCCCUUGAGACCACACCUGCUCCCCAAAGCCAGAGAUGAUCAAGGAGGAACACGAGAUGGCGAACCGGGGGACUCCCCC